rnacentral:rRNA from 1 species
AGUGGGGAAUAUUGGGCAAUGGGCGAAAGCCUGACCCAGCAACGCCGCGUGAGGGAAGAAGGUCUUCGGAUUGUAAACCUUUGUCCUAUGGGACGAAACAAAUGACGGUACCAUAGGAGGAAGCUCCGGCUAACUACGUGCCAGCAGCCGCGGUAAUACGUAGGGAGCAAGCGUUGUCCGGAAUUACUGGGCGUAAAGGGUGCGUAGGUGGCCAAAUAAGUCAGGUGUGAAAGACCGGGGCUCAACCCCGGGGUUGCACUUGAAACUGUAUGGCUUGAGUACAGGAGAGGGAAGUGGAAUUCCUAGUGUAGCGGUGAAAUGCGUAGAUAUUAGGAGGAACACCAGUGGCGAAGGCGACUUUCUGGACUGUAACUGACACUGAGGCACGAAAGCGUGGGGAGCAAACAGGAUUAGAUACCCUGGUAGUCCACGCCGUAAACGAUGGAUACUAGGUGUGGGGCCCGAUAGGGUUCCGUGCCGAAGCAAACGCAUUAAGUAUCCCG